rnacentral:rRNA from 1 species
GACGUAGGGCGCGAGCGUUGUCCGGAUUUAUUGGGCGUAAAGAGCUCGUAGGCGGCUUGUCGCGUCGUCCGUGAAAACCCACAGCUCAACUGUGGGCUUGCGGUCGAUACGGGCAGGCUAGAGUUCGGUAGGGGAGACUGGAAUUCCUGGUGUAGCGGUGAAAUGCGCAGAUAUCAGGAGGAACACCGAUGGCGAAGGCAGGUCUCUGGGCAUUAACUGACGCUGAGAAGCGAAAGCAUGGGGAGCGAACAGG